GGAGUGAGUAACACGUGGGUGAUCUGCCCUGCACUUCGGGAUAAGCUUGGGAAACUGGGUCUAAUACCGGAUAGGACCAUCGUUUAGUGUCGGUGGUGGAAAGUUUUUUCGGUGUGGGAUGAGCUCGCGGCCUAUCAGCUUGUUGGUGGGGUAAUGGCCUACCAAGGCGUCGACGGGUAGCCGGCCUGAGAGGGUGUACGGCCACAUUGGGACUGAGAUACGGCCCAG
rnacentral:rRNA from 1 species